UACGUAGGGGGCAAGCGUUGUCCGGAUUUAUUGGGCGUAAAGAGCGUGUAGGCGGCCAUACAGGUCCGUUGUGAAAACUCGAGGCUCAACCUCGAGACGUCGAUGGAAACCGUACGGCUAGAGUCCGGAAGAGGAGAGUGGAAUUCCUGGUGUAGCGGUGAAAUGCGCAGAUAUCAGGAAGAACACCCGUGGCGAAGGCGGCUCUCUGGGACGGUACUGACGCUGAGAUACGAAAGCCGAGGUAGCGAACAGG
rnacentral:rRNA from 1 species